rnacentral:miRNA from 14 species
GGCUGGUUGGGUGGAGAUCCAACAACAAAAGCUUCUGGAUAGAAUCCUCUUCCCUGGAGUGUUACAGCUCAGUAAGACAGGCACUCUCAGACAGUAUUUGGUGA